rnacentral:rRNA from 1 species
AUUGAACGCUGGCGGCAGGCUUAACACAUGCAAGUCGAGCGGGGAAGGGUAGCUUGCUACCUAACCUAGCGGCGGACGGGGGAGUAAUGCUUAGGAAUCUGCUAUCUAGUGGGGGACAACAUUCCGAAAGGAAUGCUAAUACCGCAUACGACCUACGGGAGAAAGCAGGGGAUCUUCGGACCUUGCGCUAAAUUAUGAGCCUAAGUCGGAUUAGCUAGUUGGUGGGGUAAAUGCCUACAAAGGCGACGAUCUGUAGCGGGUCUGCGAGGAUGAUCCGCCACACUGGGACUGAGACACAGCCCAGACUCCUACGGGAGGCAGCAGUGGGGAAUAUUGGACAAUGGGGGGAAGCCUGAUCCAGCCAUGCCGCGUGUGUGAAGAAGGCCUUAUGGUUGUAAAGCACUUUAAGCGAGGAGGAGGUUACUUAGAUUAAUACUCUAGGAUAGUGGACGUUACUCGCAGAAUAAGCACCGGCUAACUCUGUGCCAGCCGCCGCUGUAA